AUCUUUCUAGUAUCAACUUAAGUACCUGUGACUUCCAAUCACCUAGUCUUGGUUAAAGUCCAAGGAAAGAUA
rnacentral:tRNA from 1 species